CUCUCCUUCCAAACAAGGAUCCAUGUGACACCACCAUUUCUGAAUCACGAUGGAAGCUGGAAGACAAAGGCACGUAACAUUUGUGACGCGGUUUCUUCCCUCCAAAUCCAGGCAACAUAAAGCUCAAUGCAGGUGACAGUGGUGGACGCUGAUACUGCAGGUGUGAGUGCUGUUGACAACAGAGUGUCAAGACAGAACAGACGAUAUUUUCAUCCCAGAAGGUGCUCAUCUCUCCAUGCCGCCCCAGCUAGUAACAGGUUGCUUUUUUAAAAAAUACCCCAAUGGAUUCUACCACUGCCUCAGAACUCUGAAAGUCAAGUUCAAGAAAAAGCAGGCAUUACACAAGCCUACCUUGGAGGAAUCCGGACCACCACCAUAAAG